rnacentral:lncRNA from 1 species
CCUGCUCCUAUGCCCCAAACGGAGAUGUCCAAAAGAGAAGCUGUCACGCCCCGAACCCCAAGCGCGCGCACAUCCCACUACGGUCGAUCAAAAAUGCGACAUCCCAGGAUAUGUCGCCGACCCAUUUAUUUUAUUACGCAUGCGGAAGCGAAACAAAUCCCCUGACAAUAAAACACGGGAUAGAAAAGCAAGAAGCAAAACCAUAACAUAACACUUCCCUAAUUCAAUCACGAACCUUACAAACAGAGGUCUACGGCCAAAAUUCUACAAAAGACCGGCUCUUAAAAAUGAAUUGUCCUACGACCUACAAGUCGGACACAUUCUCCAAUCUUACGACUUCACAUCUGCAACUCCUCAAGGCCAACCAAAGAUAUCUGGCCACUUCGUCCACCGGGGACCUGAAAUUUUAAUCCCACAACCGGGAUGAGACGAUGUCUCAGCAAGUUCAACCCCCUAAACCCCUAUUAGAAAGAAAAUACGCCCCGGGUGGCCUAGCCACAUCACACGGAGGACUUACCUCGCCUCAGCCUUCAUCUGCAAGUUAGCACAAUUUAUAUGAAUCAACCACGUACAAUUAUGAUAACCAAACAACCAUGGCACAAUCACAUUAUCAAAACAAUUCAACUACUUGGAUCGUCUCAGCGACCAAUCGACUCGGCCGAUUACAUGUCAUUCUAGCAAAUCAAUCAUUGCUCUCAAUCCCGGCCUUAUAGGAAGGUUUAACAAUCAGUGGCAAUCACGGCCCCACUCGGCACGACCUGUAAUCAUGUGGUAAUUCACGGCCUCAUCAGGCACGACCUCUAAUAGGUGGUUAAUCACGGCCUCACUGGGCACGACCUCUCAUAGGUGGUUCAUCACGGCCUCACUGGGCACGACCUCUCAUAGGUGGUUCAUCACGGCCUCACUGGGCACGACCUCUCAUAGGUGGUCAAUCACAGCCAAUCUCCCAUCAAUUUCUACACUUAGGAUUUUAUAAAGAAUCCCUAUUUAUCACAAUCACACUCCAUUUGCCACAAUCAAUCAUCAAAUUCAAAUUCUAAAUACACAGCAGCGAUCAGCACGAAAUUCUGAGAGAAUAAGGGUCCUGACAAAAUUUUCGGAAUUUAUUAAAUAAUUAAAUUUAUUCCGAAAAUAAUUAAAUAAUAAUAUUCAUAUUUUUCACGAUCCACGCUUAAUUUAUAAUAUCCAAUCAUCAAUUUCAAAAUCUGACUACACAGCAGCGAUCGGCACAAAAUUCUGAGCAACCAGGAUCAAAAAUAAUUUUUCCGUUUUUUUUUUUAAAUAAUAAUAUUUUAAUAAUUUCGGAAUUAAUAUAAUAUUAUAAAUUUCCAGAAAUUCGAAGCAAUUAAAUAAUUCAAAAUUAAAAACCCUGUUAUGUCACAUCAAGGCUUUAUAUUAAAAAUAAACAUACUUAACUUUAAACUAAACACACUUUAACUUAAUUAAACACCAUAAUCUAAUCAUCAACCAAAUAAACUAAUUUAACCAACUAAGCUUACUUAACUUUGGCUAAGCACACUUAGGGCAUCAUUAACCGUCUAAUCAAGGUUUAGUGAGUUAAACUCACCGGAUUAGCGAGCCCAGCGGAUCAAAACGACGAGGACGACGCGAGGAUCGACUUUGCUCAAGGCGAGCUGAGCAUCCGGGCUCGGGAAGGCGGCCGAAACGGGCCAAAACGGGGCUGCCAUACCCAUUUUCUGCAGCUGCUGGUUGAGGCCGAUGGAGGGCUGCACGGUGGCGGAUCGGGCGGAGGAACGGCAUAGGAGGACUGCCGGUGGCUCGGAUGGACGAGGCGGCGGCCAAGCGAGGCCUCACGGUGGCCGGAGGGAGCUCCGGCAGCUCCUGAAAUACGCGAGCAGGGGCAGACGGAGGCGGCGGUCCAGGCGAGGCGCGUGCGGGGCGACGCACGGGCGCGCGGGUGCGGGACGACACGAGCGGUGGCGAGCUCUGGCGACGGGUGGCAGCGUCGAGCUCGGCUGGUCCCGGUCAGCUGCUGCAAGAGAUCUCAGAUCUGCUGGGGAAACGGGCUAAGGCGGAGCGGCGAGCUAGACGGCGAGCGAGCGGACGGCGGCACAGACGGCGGCGACGAGCGGCGGAAGGGGCGUGCGACGGCGGUGAACGGCGGAGGCGUGCGGCUUCUCCAACUUGCUGGUUGCUGGGUUUUCAAAGAAGAAGGAGAUGAAGAAGAUGGAGAUGGAGGAGUCGCACGGUAGAGAGGAAGAAGAGAGGGAGGAGAGAGAAGGAGGAGGGGGCCCUUUUUCUUUUCUUUU